UACGUAGGGGGCAAGCGUUGUCCGGAAUUAUUGGGCGUAAAGAGCGUGUAGGCGGUCCGGUAAGUCAGCUGUGAAAGUCCAGGGCUCAACCCUGGGAUGCCGGUGGAUACUGUCGGGCUCGAGUCCGGAAGAGGAGUGUGGAAUUCCUGGUGUAGCGGUGAAAUGCGCAGAUAUCAGGAGGAACACCAAUGGCGAAGGCAGCACUCUGGGACGUGACUGACGCUGAGACGCGAAAGCGUGGGGAGCGAACAGG
rnacentral:rRNA from 1 species